ensembl:lncRNA
GUUCCGGAGAGCCCGAGCCGGUCCUGCAGAGGCCUGCAGCCGCACCUGCAGUGAGACCGAGUCCUGUGGGGCACGCAGGGGCUGGGCCGACCGGUCUGGCAAGCCCGAGCCGGUCCUGCAGAGGCCUCCAGCUGCGGCUUUAGUGUGACCAAGUGUUGUGGGGGUCCCCAGGGGCCGGUCUGACCGGUCUGGCGUGUCCGAGCCGGUCGUGCAGAGGGAGCCAGCUGCGGCUUUAGUGUGACCGAGUGCUGUGCGGGCCCGCACGGGCCGGUCUGAGCGGUCCGGCGACCGGGACCGGCUCCUUCAGCAUGCUCCAGCCGCAGCUGCGGUGGUGGCCGAGUCAGGUGGGGGCACGCAGGGGCCGGGCUGACCGUUCCGGAGAGCCGGAGCCGGUCCUGCAGAGGCCUCCAGCUGCGGCUUUAGUGUGACCGAGUGCUGUGCGGGCCCGCAGGGGCCGGUGCGAGCGGUCCGGUGACCGGGAUCGGCUCCUUCAGCAUGCUCCAGCCGCAGCUGCGGAGGUGGCCGAGUCGGGUGGGGGCACGCAGGGGUUGGGUUGACCGGUCCAGCAAGCCUGAGACGGGCCUGUACAGGCCUCCAGCCGCACCUGUAGUGAGACCGAGUCCUGUGGAGGCACGCAGGGGCCGGGCCGACCGGUCCGCUGACCCAGAGUCGGUCCUGUACAGUCCACCAGCCACACCUGCAGUGACACCGAGUCCUGUGGGAGCACACAGGGGCCGGGCUGACCAUUCCGGAGAGCCGGAGCCGGUCCAGCAGCGGCCUCCAGCCGCACCUGCAGUGUGACCGAGUCCUUUUGGGGCACUCAGGGGCCGGGCCGACCGUUCCGG